rnacentral:rRNA from 1 species
GGCCUGCCCACUGAGGAUUUAAAUGGCCGCGGUAUUUUGACCGUGCAAAGGUAGCAUAAUAAUUAGUUUUUUAAUUGAAAGCUGGAAUGAAAGGUUGGAUGAGAAAAUAACUGUCUCUAUUUAGUUUAAUUAGAAUUUUAUUUUUAAGUAAAAAAGCUUAAAUAAAAAUAGAAGACGAGAAGACCCUAUAGAGUUUUAAUUUAGUUGGGGUGAUUGAAAAAUUAAGAAAACUUUUUUUAUAAUCAACCAUUGAUAUAUGAAUAUAUGAUCCUUUUUUAAAGAUUAAAAGAAAAAAUUACCUUAGGGAUAACAGCGUAAUUUUUUUAGAGAGUUCAAAUCGAAAAAAAAGAUUGCGACCUCGAUGUUGGAUUAAAAUUAAGUCUUGGUGUAGAAGCUAA